GCGAGAGUGGCGGAAUUGGCAGACGCGCCAGACUUAGGAUCUGGUGUCGCAAGACGUGGGGGUUCGAGUCCCCCCUCUCGCA
rnacentral:tRNA from 1 species